rnacentral:rRNA from 1 species
UACGUAGGGCGCAAGCGUUGUCCGGAAUUAUUGGGCGUAAAGAGCUCGUAGGCGGCUUGUCACGUCGGAUGUGAAAGCCCGGGGCUUAACCCCGGGUCUGCAUUCGAUACGGGCUAGCUAGAGUGUGGUAGGGGAGAUCGGAAUUCCUGGUGUAGCGGUGAAAUGCGCAGAUAUCAGGAGGAACACCGGUGGCGAAGGCGGGUCUCUGGGCCGUAACUGACGCUGAGGAGCGAAAGCGUGGGGAGCGAACAGG